CAGAAGUAUGGAGGAAGUAUUAAAUCAACCGUAUUGCUUUCAUGUUUUUGGGAUAAACAUGACAAGUAAUCAAUGGGUGGCUAGAAAGCUGCCAUUGAACAAAAUUGGAAAGCCACUCCUGCAAUAACUGUGUUUCAGCCAGAAAUGUGCUCCAUUUUUGGCUAGGCCGAUGGCAGGGACAAAAGAUCUUCAGAGCUCGGGUAUUACCCAGCUGUUAAUGGCACCAAAAUGAAGUGGGAGGAGCUGUGCACUUGAUUUUUAAUUCUGUGUAGAGCUUAAUUGGUACUGCAUCAGAAGCGAGGACUUCCAACUAUGAUUGUAAUCUUGACAUUGGAAUAGCUCAUUGGCAAUAUUAGGAGUGCAAAUUGACUUGAAAGAUACUAGUCAUGUUCUUUUAUUAUCAUUUUCACAACAGUUUGAUGCAUGUCCGAUGAGAGAAAUCAUGUUCUUUCAUUAUCAUUCACGCAAAGAGAAUACCAGAAUGAUGGAGAACACAUAUGCCCCAUGUAGAAUUAUGAAGAAUAUUUGCAUGGCAGCAGAACCACAGAGAUCGGGUUCUGGAGAUCAUCCGUGUUUCCUAGUAAUUGUAAAUAUAGCAGGUAAAGUAUCAUAUUCAGUUAAGAAUACCUACUUCACAUUAGUAAUUUCAGUUUGGUA